rnacentral:rRNA from 1 species
GGGCCCGCACAAGCGGUGGAGCAUGUGGUUUAAUUCGAUGAUACGCGAGGAACCUUACCAGGGCUUAAAUGUAGUAUGACCGGCUUGGAAACAGGCCUUCUCUUCGGAGCAGAUUACAAGGUGCUGCAUGGUUGUCGUCAGCUCGUGCCGUGAGGUGUUAGGUUAAGUCCUGCAACGAGCGCAACCCCUAUUCUUAGUUGCCAGCGGUUCGGCCGGGGACUCUAACGGAACUGCCGGUGCAAACCGUGAGGAAGGUGGGGACGACGUCAAAUCAUCACGGCCCUUACGUCCUGGGCCACACACGUGCUACAAUGGUAGGUACAGAGGGAAGCCACCCCGCGAGGGGAGCGGA